ACCCCUCAGUUAAAGAAGGAAAAACCCACAAUUCUCACUGAAAUCACUUGAAACUCACAAAAGUAACAAUAAAUAAAAAUGUAUUGAAAAUUAAAUAAUCAAAAACAGCCAUUACUUUUGAAUUGUUGAUUAACAUAAUUAUUUAAAAAAACAAACUAAUGAAACAGGCCUGGACAAAAAUGAUGGUACCUCUAUAAAAGAUUGAAAACUAUUUGACCAGAGUGACAUGAUUAACUCAGGUGUGUCAUUUAAUUGACAUCACAGGUGUUUCCAAACUCAUAAUCAGUCAGUCUGCCUAUUUAAAGGGAGACAAGUAGUCACCCUGCUGUUUGGUGAAAAGGUGUGUACCACACUGAACAUGGACAACAGAAAGCGAAGGAGAGAAUUGUCCCAGGACAUCCGAAAAAAAAUGAUAGACAAACAUCUUAAAGGUAAAGGCUAUAAGACCAUCUCUAAACAGCUUGAAGUUCCUGUGACAACAGUGGCUCAUAUUAUUCAGAAGUUCAAGACCCACGGGACAGUAGCCAACCUCCCUGGACGUGGCCGCAAGAGGAAAAUUGAUGACAAAUUGAAGAGACGGAUCGUUGGAAUUGUAUCCAAAGAGCCCAGAGCAACCUCCAAAGAAAUUAAAGGUGAACUCCAAGGCUAAGGUACAUCAGUGUCAGAUCGCACCAUUCGUCGUUGUUUGAGCCAAAGUGGACUUCAUGGGAGACGACCAAGGAGGACACCACUGCUGAAAAAAACUCAUAAAAAAGCCAGACUGGAAUUUGCAAAAAUGCAUGUUGACAAGCCACAAAGCUUCUGGGAGAAUGUCCUUUGGACAGAUGAGACCAAACUGGAGCUUUUUGGUAAGGCACAUCAACUCUAUGUUCAUAGACUCAAAAACCAAGCAUACGAAGAAAAGAACACUGUCCCUACGGUGAAACAUGGAGGAGGCUCAGUAAUGUUUUGGGGCUGCUUUGCUGCAUGUGGCACAGGGUGUCUUGAAAGUGUGCAAGGUACGAUGAAAUCUGAAGACUAUCAAGGCAUUCUGGAGAGAAAUGUGCUGCCUAGUGUCAGAAAGCUUGGUCUCAGUCGCAGGUCAUGGGUCUUCCAACAGGACAACGAUCCAAAACACACAGCCAAAAACACCCAAGAAUGGCUGAGAGAAAAGCGUUGGACUAUUCUAAAGUGGCCUUCUAUGAGCCCAGAUCUGAAUCCCAUUGAACAUAUGUGGAAGGAGCUGAAACAUGCCAUUUGGAGAAGACACCCAUCAAACCUGAGACAACUGGAGCUGUUUGCUCAUGAGGAGUGGGCCAAAAUACCUGUUGACAGCUGCAGAACGCUCAUUGACAAAUACAGAAAUCGUUUAAUUGCAGUGAUUGCCUCAAAAGGUUGUGCAACAAAAUAUUAAGUUAUGGGUACCAUCAUUUUUGUCCAGCCCUAUUUCAUUAGUUUGUUUUUUUAAAUAAUUAUGUUAAUCAACAAUUCAAAAGUGAUGGCUGAUUUUGAUUAUUUAAUUUUCAAUAAAUUUUUAUUUAUUGUUA